GAUGAACGCUAGCUACAGGCUUAACACAUGCAAGUCGAGGGGUAACAAGAGGAAAGCUUGCUUUUCUUGUUGACGACCGGCGCACGGGUGAGUAACGCGUAUCCAACCUGCCUAUAACUAGGGAAUAACCUUGCGAAAGUAAGACUAAUACCCUAUGAUUUCCUUUGAUGACAUCAGAUUAGGUAUAAAGAUUUAUCGGUUAUAGAUGGAGAUGCGUCUGAUUAGCUUGUUGGCGGGGUAACGGCCCACCAAGGCAACGAUCAGUAGGGGUUCUGAGAGGAAGGUCCCCCACAUUGGAACUGAGACACGGUCCAAACUCCUACGGGAGGCAGCAGUGAGGAAUAUUGGUCAAUGGGCGGAAGCCUGAACCAGCCAAGUAGCGUGCAGGAUGACGGCCCUAUGGGUUGUAAACUGCUUUUAUACAGGAAUAAAGUUAGCCACGUGUGGUUAUUUGUAGGUACUGUAUGAAUAAGGACCGGCUAAUUCCGUGCCAGCAGCCGCCGUAA
rnacentral:rRNA from 1 species